CACGUAGGGCGCGAGCGUUGUCCGGAAUUAUUGGGCGUAAAGAGCUCGUAGGCGGUUUGUCGCGUCUGCCGUGAAAGUCCGGGGCUCAACUCCGGAUCUGCGGUGGGUACGGGCAGACUAGAGUGAUGUAGGGGAGACUGGAAUUCCUGGUGUAGCGGUGAAAUGCGCAGAUAUCAGGAGGAACACCGGUGGCGAAGGCGGGUCUCUGGGCAGUAACUGACGCUGAGGAGCGAAAGCGUGGGGAGCGAACAGG
rnacentral:rRNA from 1 species